CCUACGCGGAGCAGCAGUGGGGAAUAUUGGACAAUGGGCGAAAGCCUGAUCCAGCCAUGCCGCGUGUGUGAAGCAGGCCUUCGGGUUGUAAAGCACUUUCAGUGGGGAAGAAAGCCUUGGGGCUAAUACCCUCGAGGAAGGACAUCACCCACAGAAGAAGCACCGGCUAACUCCGUGCCAGCAGCCGCGGUAAUACGGAGGGUGCGAGCGUUAAUCGGAAUUACUGGGCGUAAAGCGCGCGUAGGCGGUCUGAUAAGCCGGUUGUGAAAGCCCCGGGCUCAACCUGGGAACGGCAUCCGGAACUGUCAGGCUAGAGUGCAGGAGAGGAAGGUAGAAUUCCCGGUGUAGCGGUGAAAUGCGUAGAGAUCGGGAGGAAUACCAGUGGCGAAGGCGGCCUUCUGGACUGACACUGACGCUGAGGUGCGAAAGCGUGGGUAGCAAACAGGAUUAGAUACCCCUGUAGUC
rnacentral:rRNA from 1 species